UCGUCAAGACUCCCACUAUCACUAGGUGUCAAUUCUUCAGAUCUUCGACCAAGGAUCAGACAUGACUUUAUCCUAUCAAGUAAGGAAGCUGUGGAUAUAUAUUGGAAAACUUUGGAGUAUUGUUACGCCACUGCUGAUCCUUCUGCUGCAGUGCAUGCUUUCCCUGGUUCUGCUGUACAUGAGGUGUUUCUUUAUCGAUCAUGGGCUUCCAUUCGGGUUAUGACAGCUGAUCAGCGUGCGCUGCUGCUCAAACGUGUAGUUCAAGAUGACCUAGCAAAUAAGAUUUCUUUCAAGGACUGUGUACAGAUUGCCAGAGAUUUAAAUCUCACCCUAGAACAGGUGCUUCGUGUCUCUAAUGAUAAAAAAACAGUCACGUCUUUAUAGAUUCCAAACAGAUUUCGAUAAUCACAAGCUGGAUUCUCAACCAGAAACAAGUAAAUGCAGAUCUCGGAAAAGGAAGAAAAGAUCCAAAACAAAGUCAUCGAAACAUAGAAAAUCCGUAAAUCGAGAAUCAGGUAUGUUAAAAAGCCCAUUAUCUGAAAGUAAUUGCGAGGAUACAGAAGAAGAAAAUCCCAUUACAACUGAUCUUGAAGACCAUGACAUUCAUUUUCAAGAAGGCGAAGAGGAGAUACAAGCAGAAGAUGGAGAAGAACUGGGAACAAAUGGAGAGGGCCAAGAUGACAAUUGUGAUUUUAUCAGCCAGUGUGCCUUUCCCAAACCAACUCGUCACUCAAAAUUUGUGUGGACCGAGGCGUCAGAUAGGCAACUGGUGAUUCAGUACGUAAGAUACCGUGCGGAACUUGGGGCCAAAUUUUAUCGCACUUUUUGGGCCACUCUACCUGACCUUCCUGCACCCCUGGAAGCCUGCAGGAGAAGAAUGGCAACCCUGAAAAAAAUUCCAGAAUUUAGAACUGCGAUAAUGAGGCUAUGUAACCUGCUCGGUUUUCGAUAUGUCAACCAUCUGCUAAAAUCUAAGGAGAAGGAACUCCAGUUUAAUUCUGGAAAUACUUUUCAGGAUUCUUCAAGGAAAAAAUGUGCUACUGGCAAUUUCUCUGACUGUCUUGAAAGAAAUUUGGAGUCAGAUUUCGAGGACCAAAUAUGGGAUGAUUUUGAGGAUCAAAAAGUAAGAAGGGAUCUUGACGAGGUGCUGCCUUUGAUGCUUACGGGUGGCGAAGGCAGAAGGUGGUAAGCGAGCUGGAACUUCACCUGAAAGACAUUUGGAAUCUCAAGCUCGUGAUUUCCAAGAGCAGCCAACCACCACUAGUGGCGAGGAAAUGCAUAUUUAUGGAGGAAAACAACAAAAAAGAACUAAGUGCCAUCGUCUGCCUGGAAAGUUCCUGAAGCUUCUUAAUGAAGGAAUCAGUGUUAGCAGAAGGGCAUACGAAUCCCUGGCUGUUGCCAAUGCUGUAGAACUCCUUAAGCUUGUAUUUUUGAGCAUAUCAACUGCACCUGAGGUGCCCAAUUUGCUGGCAGAGACUCUGCGUCGUUAUUCUGAGCAUGACCUAUUUGCAGCUUUUAAUUACCUCAGACAGAAACAAUUCAUGGUGGGUGGAAAUGGCAGUUAGCCCUUUGUACUGUCUCAACAAUUUAUGCACAGUGUUUCAUCUUCUCCAUUUCCAGUGGACACUGGAAAGAGGGCUUCUAAGUUUGCUCGUUGGCUGAGUGAAAGAGAAAAAAGUCUGAUGGAAGAGGGGAUUCAUCUUAAUGCUGAUUUACAGUGUGGUGAUAUUUUCCAAUUGUUAGCUUUAGUUUCUUCUGGAGAGCUGUGCAUUUCACCACGCUUGCCGGAGGAAGGUGUUGGAGAUGUUGAGGAGAAGAGAAACUCUAAAAGAAAAACUUAUGAGGAUGAGAUAUGUAACAAUGAUCAAGCUAAAAAGCCUGCCGAGGGGGAAUGUAGCACCCGCAGAGAGAAAGGUUUUCCUGGUAUAAAUGUAUCCUUAAUCGUGCAGUAAUUCCGAGAGCUGACUGUGGGGAAGUUUCCAAUAAUGAAAAGACGCAUGUCCAUCUCGGGUCGAUGAAAAUGACCAAUCCUUUUGUACGGCAAUGGGUAUUGGUGGUGAUGGCUCUUUUAUUUCUGUGAAGCUAAAUUCACGAAAUGAUGUUGGCGAUUCUGCUGCAUCAUCAGUGACAGUGACCCCAUGGAAAGCUAUGGCUGAUUAUGCUGAAUAUUUGAUGUCCAAUCUUUCUGAUGAGGAUCGAGUGGGACCUUUAUUUCCUGAAAUCUUCCAGAAUUUUCAUUCUUCUAUACUUAAAUCUGGUGACCAAGGGUUGAGCAUGCUGGAAAUUUCCAAAGUUGCAGCUAUUAGGGGGAAAAGAUGGCUGAACUUGUUGUAGAUGUGCUUCAAGUAUUUGGAUUAGCUAUGAGGGUCAACGGAUACGACGAUGUUCAUGUUGUUGAUACUUCAUUCCGUUCGAAGUACUUUUGUCCUCUGCUGACGGUCGUUAUCAGAACAUAAAGUCUUCCCCACACAGAAAGCGUCCAAGGAUAUUGGGAAAAGGAUGUUACUAACAUGGAGUCUGAUGUUGUGCAUAAAGUAACUAUGCUCAAUCUACCCGAAGACGUUUCUCAACUCUCGGUCGAACGUCAACCUCAUGAAGUAGAUGUUACAUUUCAAGAUUCUGCGCAGGUCAAAGUUGUUUCUUCAGAACGACAGAGAGAAAAUACCGAAUAUACAAUGACUUCGAGUGAUUCUCAUUCAUUUAGACCCAUAUUGCCAUGGAUAAAUGGUGGUGGAACAACUAACCAUAUCGUCUACGAGGGACUUAUACGGUGGGUCCUUGGAAUAGUGAUGCAAAAUCCUGGUAUUCUAGAGUAUGACGUUAUCCAGCAGAUGAACACAUUGAAUCCUCAGAACUGUAGAAAGCUGUUGGGGCUGAUGGUUCUUGAUAACCACCUUAUUGUGAAGAAAAUGUACCAAACUACUUAGGCUGGGCCUCCUGGAUUACUGAGCCUCUUCUGUAAGAGUUUCAGGCAAUCGGAGUCGAUAUAUAGAGAUCAUGAGUUCUUCCCUCUUAUAGGAAAUGGUCUUUCCAUGUAUCUGAACUAAUGUU